UGGGGAAUAUUGGGCAAUGGGCGCAAGCCUGACCCAGCAACGCCGCGUGAGGGAAGAAGGCCUUCGGGUUGUAAACCUCUGUCCUUGGGGACGAAAGAAAUGACGGUACCCAAGGAGGAAGCUCCGGCUAACUACGUGCCAGCAGCCGCGGUAAUACGUAGGGAGCGAGCGUUGUCCGGAAUUACUGGGCGUAAAGGGUGCGUAGGCGGCAUGGCAAGUCAGAUGUGAAAUCCCCGGGCUUAACUCGGGGGGUGCAUUUGAAACUGCUGUGCUUGAGUGCAGGAGAGGAAAGCGGAAUUCCUAGUGUAGCGGUGAAAUGCGUAGAUAUUAGGAGGAACACCAGUGGCGAAGGCGGCUUUCUGGACUGUAACUGACGCUGAGGCACGAAAGCGUGGGGAGCAAACA
rnacentral:rRNA from 1 species